rnacentral:rRNA from 1 species
GCGAUCAUACUAGCACUAAUGCACCGGAUCCCAUCAGAACUCCGCAGU